AGAGUUUGAUCAUGGCUCAGGACGAACGCUGGCGGCGUGGAUAAGGCAUGCAAGUCGAACGCGAACGGAAUGACUAACUCGUUAGAAGUUCCUAGUAGAGUGGCGAACGGGUGAGUAACGCGUGGAUAACGUGCCUCUCAGUGGGGAAUAACACAGGGAAACUUGUGCUAAUACCGCAUACGUCCUUCCGGCCAAGUCGGAAUGAUGAAAGGUGGGGACCUUCGGGCCUGCCGCUGAGAGAUCGGUCCGCGUCCCACUAGCUUGUUGGUGGGGUAACGGCCUACCAAGGCAGUGAUGGGUAGCCGGCCUGAGAGGGUGACCGGCCACACUGGGAUUGAGAUACGGCCCAGACUCCUUCGGGAGGCAGCAGUCGAGAAUCUUCCACAAUGGACGAAAGUCUGAUGGAGCGACGCCGCGUGAGUGAUGAAGGCCCUACGGGUUGUAAAACUCUGUCAGGAGAGAAGAAUCGCCGGGAUGCCAAUACCAUCCUGGUCUGACGUUAUCUCCAGAGGAAGCUCCGGCUAACUCCGUGCCAGCAGCCGCGGUAAUACGGGGGGAGCAAGCGUUGUCCGGAAUUAUUGGGCGUAAAGGGCGUGUAGGCGGCCUGGUCAGUCGAAUGUGAAAUCCCACGGCUCAACCGUGGAAUUGCGUUCGAUACUGCCUGGCUUGAGUAUGUGAGAGGUGUGCGGAAUUCCUGGUGUAGCGGUGGAAUGCGUAGAUAUCAGGAAGAACACCGAUGGCGAAGGCAGCACACUGGCGCAAUACUGACGCUGAGGCGCGAAAGCGUGGGGAGCAAACAGGAUUAGAUACCCUGGUAGUCCACGCUGUAAACGAUGGGUACUGGGUUUCGGGGGUCUCAACCCUCUCGGAGCCGUAGCUAACGCGUUAAGUACCCCGCCUGGGGAGUACGGUCGCAAGGCUGAAACUUAAAGGAAUUGACGG
rnacentral:rRNA from 1 species